AUAUGAACAUAAAUUAAAAUCUAAGAGGGAAAGACAAUUGAUAUUGGGCACAAAAAAUAUGUACCAACCAACGCACUGUAUAACUGAAAGGUUUUAUUUGUUGUUUUGUGUUUGUGUUUAUGUUUGUUAAAAAAAAUUGUGAGGGGAAGAAGACGCUUUGCUUCGCAUCCAAGAAGCUUCUUCAGCUCU